CACAAACAGACUCAGACACAAACACACACACACAUACACAAACACAGUCAGACACAAACACACACACACAUACACAAACAGACAAACAGUCAGACACAAACACACACACACAUACACAAACACACACACUCACAAACACAGUCAGAUACAAACACACACACUCACAAACACAGUCAGACACACACAGAGUCAGACACAAACACACACACAGUCAGACACAUACACAGACACAAACACAGUCAGACAAACACACACACAGUCAGACACACAGACACAAACAGACACACUCACAAACACAGUCAGAUACACACAGAGUCAGACACAAACACACACACAGUCAGACACAUACACAGACACAUACACAAACAGACACACUCACAAACACAGUCAAACACACACACACAUACACAAACACAGUCAGACACACACAGAGUCACAUACACAGUCAGACAAACACACACACAGUCAGACACAAACACACACACACAUUAACUUUUUUUUUAUUUAAAUCCCCCCCCAACCUCCUUACCUUUGGGAGUGCUGGGGGGGGGGUCUCUCUCCCUG